rnacentral:lncRNA from 1 species
GAUGGCGACGGUGGAUGAAAGCAAGAAUCGAAGAGGAGCGGGGGAAGCGGAGGGAAGAUGGCGCUGGGAGUUGGAGCCGGGUUGCUGGGGGGGUUAUUGGUCGGGGAUAUGAUAUCCGACGUUGGGGAAAUGGCGGCUUAUGAUUCCGGGUACGGUGCCGGGUUCGACGACGGGUUUGAUUUCUAGAGGGGCUGUAUUGUAAUCUUACUUGUUUUCUGAGUUGUUUGUUCUUUUAUUAUGGUUUAAAGGCUGUAAUUACUAAUUAUACAGGAAGGAAUGAGCUAUAUAUAUGGAGAUUUUGUAGAGUGGUUUACAAUAAAAUAUCAAUUAAUAAUAUUAAUCUUGAGAUGUGUCUAAGUCUAGAAUACACUUUUGCCAAUUUGAAGUUAAUUUCUUAUUACAUGUCGGAAUCGGUAAUCGAUUGACAAUGACAUAUAGAUUAAUUCAAUUUCGAUAACUACAUGAAAUAAAUACUCCUCUCUAUCCAUGUAUUUUCAUUUUUUUCAAAUAUAGUUCUUACUUUGUUGAGAUAAUAUAUUUAGUGUCUCUAUGAUUUUUACUAUUAAAGGGUUGCAGAACUAGUAUUUACGAAAUUGUUAGACCUAUAAACACAUGCAUGCACACAUUUGGUGGGGCCAUUGUACAUUAGACCGUUUAUCUCUUUUAUUCAUCAAUCACGCUCUGUAUGCUUCAUGCUGGUUUAGUGCACUAAAAAUGAAGCCCCUAAUUUUGAGCACCCUUCACUUUAGUGCAUCUCUCGUAGGUGUUGUAAAUAGUCUUCAUCACUCAUGAAGUUGAUGGCUUAUUGAUACUAUCUUGAUGUUUCCUCGCAAAGCCUUAUAUUGACCCACAUAUAUACUCGGGAAGUCUAAUUCAAAGUGUACACAAUGCAAUUAAGUUGAUCAUAUAAAUCCACAUUCGUACAAAUUAAACUAAUAAGAAACUCGAGAUAGUUUUGAAUAUCUAGCAAAAAAAAA